rnacentral:rRNA from 1 species
GUGGGGAAUUUUGGACAAUGGGCGCAAGCCUGAUCCAGCCAUUCCGCGUGCAGGAUGAAGGCCUUCGGGUUGUAAACUGCUUUUGUACGGAACGAAAAGCCUCUGGUUAAUACCCGGGGGUCAUGACGGUACCGUAAGAAUAAGCACCGGCUAACUACGUGCCAGCAGCCGCGGUAAUACGUAGGGUGCGAGCGUUAAUCGGAAUUACUGGGCGUAAAGCGUGCGCAGGCGGUGAUGUAAGACAGUUGUGAAAUCCCCGGGCUCAACCUGGGAACUGCAUCUGUGACUGCAUUGCUGGAGUGCGGCAGAGGGGGAUGGAAUUCCGCGUGUAGCAGUGAAAUGCGUAGAUAUGCGGAGGAACACCGAUGGCGAAGGCAAUCCCCUGGGCCUGCACUGACGCUCAUGCACGAAAGCGUGGGGAGCAAACAGGAUUAGAUACCCUUGUAGUCC